rnacentral:lncRNA from 1 species
UAUUGUUGUAGUCAGGAAAAAUACUUAAUAUAAUUUCAGUCUUUUUAAAUUUAUAGGACUUGUUUUGUGGCCUAAAAUGUGAUCUAUACUGAAGAAUGUUUUAUGUGCUGUUCAGAAGAAUUUGUACACUGCACCUGCUGGAUGGAAUGGUUCGAGGCUGAGAAACCCCAGGAUCUGCAGUUGGCCAGCUGGAGAAGCAGAAGAGCGAGUGGUAUAGUUCCAACCUGAAUCUGAAGGCUUGAGAACCAAGAAGAGCCAAGAGUGUCAGUCCCAGUUUGCGCCAGUUCUGAAGUCCAGAGAAGACUAAUGUCCCAGCUCAAAGACAGAAAAGGGGAGAGAAGAGUGUGUGGAAAAUUUUAGGACAAGAACUACAGUUUUCCACUGGACGUCAGAAGAGGCAAGAUGAGAUCUUAGACCUAGAGAGAGUAGGUAAGCACUAAAUGUCAACUAAGCCAGCUGUCAAUUCCAAGAAGGUCCAAUGAAGUAAGAGAGAACCUCUCCAUAACAAAAGUUGAAUAUAAGUAAGAGACAGAAAUGUGUUAAUCAUGCUUUCUGACAAAAUGUCUAAAAGUGAAUAAUACUUUUAUAUUUGCCUGUAAAUAUAUAAAAUAUACCUGUAUAGAUAGAGAAGAAAAUGAUCGUAUUUGUUAUUUUCAGACAAGGAACCAGUUGUUGGAAAGAGAGUGAGGUGAUUAAGAAUUUCCAAAACACGUCCUUUGUUACUCUUGAAUUUUGAACCAUGUAAAUGUUUUAUCUAUCUAAAAAUUGCAAAUAUUAUGAAAUAAUGCUCCAAAUAAAAAAAAAUGAGGACUAAAGUUUUAAAAAUAAUGAAAUUAAAUACUGUCUAAUCAUACCUUACAUUUGUUGAGCACAUACACGUGCCAGGCAUUUUAUACUCAUCACUUCAUUUAAUUCAUAUUAUCAAUCCCAUUUUUUAGAUAUUGGGAAAAUGAAAUUUAAUGAGAUUGUCUUUUUGUGUUUUUCAUAGUUUUGAGCUUUGUGAAAGACAGCUAGAACAGUAAGCAUUUGUCUUCAAUUAAACUAAGAAAUUAAUUAAACACCAGAUAAACACUGUUGUAGCAAUUAGUACUUACAAUCUCCUCAGGUAUUUCUUGGUAAAUAUUGCAUAUUAGCUUCACAAUUGCUUUACUGUGGUAAAUCAUGUUCAAGAACAGAUUUUCUAUAUGUUCCAUGAAAGUAGGUGACUAUGCAUUCCACCUUUAUUCAUGAAAAUCUAGUCUGUUUUACAACUGACA